UUGUGGUGCCUGCAGGGGUGGGGCCGUGACUGCCCAGGGCAGAUUUGAACCUGGGAUGUCUGGAGCUUAGCUAGGAGCCUCUAUAGCUCGAGCUAGAAAGGCAGCUGGUUUUCCUGUUCUUGCCUGUUGCUGUAAGUGGUCCAAGUGCCACUACAUGGGCCAGCAAACCCCAGUAGGUGUGCGGGUGACGUGGACACUGGUUCAGGGGUUGUCACCUGCACUGAAGAUGAUUUUCUGAGGCGGCGGAUGAUGUGGCAGUAAAAUCCCCUGCAGUCUGUCCACACUACAGCAGCCUCCCUGGAUACCAUGAGCAAUGACCCAAGAAAAGACCCAGCUACGAUUGUAGCCUCUGUGCUUGGCAGGGGUUUGGGAUAGCAAGGCGAGCAGGUGACCACGAUUCAGCCCUUCAUGCCACCAAGCAGAGUGGGGCCAUCGAUACGGCCUCAUCGGUGUCCAGCUUCGGAGCCAUUUAACCCAUCUGCCUCCCCUGCACCUUGACUCGUCCACGUAGCCGAGAGCCAUAUCCGGACAGCUUUUAUCAGCCGCUUCGGGCGAGAUGGCCGUAUUGGCCACAGCUGCCAGGACACUCCCGCACGCUCCUCGGCACGUCUGCGCUUCCAAAAACUCCAUCUUGUCAGCCUCUGACCACCUGGUUUGUUUUCAGAUUGAACAGUUGAGUCAUAAUAUGUUUGUUUAUUUCAACAACUGUAUUCAUUGCAUAGGAAAUGAGCCAAUAUGUCUGUGAUGGGCAGAGUGAAAUCUGCCAUGUUUACAGUUGCUUUUUGCCAUCUCACCACCAAAUUUUACAAUAU